GCUCCCCUACUUAUUCAAUUCUUCUCCCCCUCUCCAAAUACAUCAUAAUCAUUAUUCUGUUCAAAGCAAAUUAAGUUAGUGUGUCUCAUGUCACUUUGACGUUAAGAGUUUUCGGUGUGGACCUUGGUUUGAUUGAACAUAAAGUUUUGUUCAUUCGAUUGGGGUGAAAUCCAUUUUCUGAAUUUGGUUGCACACCAAGUCCAUUGAAAAAGUGGGUGUGAAAGAAUCAAAUAAAAUAAAAUCCCUUUAUUGUCACUCAACCAUAUACACAAGUGCAACAGAGGGUGAAAGUUUUGGGUGUGGUUCCAAGCAACAUAGCAGUAUGACAAUUACAAUAAACAUCUGAUUUACACUUAAAGUUUACACAUCUUGUUACAAAGAAGAAACAAGAUGUGAAGAAGUAUAGGUAUCUGCGGAACAAUAAUGGGCGUUUUCCAAUCUGUGGACGUUUUCAAACUGGGAUGGCCGUUUUUUAACCAUCCAAUGAAAGUAAGGAAUCUCAAUGUAGUAAUCAGUAGGUGUUUCCAAACCAGGAUGUGCGUUCCUCAACUAUCCAAUAAAAGUAUGGAAUUUCAAUGUAGUAAUCAGUAGGUGUUUCCAAACCAGGAUGGGCAUUCCUCAACUAUCCAAUGAAAUUAGGGAAUCUCAAUGUACUAAUCAGUAGGUAUUUCCAAACCAGGAUGGGCAUUCCUCAACUAUCCAGUGAAAUUAGGGAAUC